CCUACGGGUGGCAGCAGUCGAGAAUCAUUCACAAUGGGGGAAACCCUGAUGGUGCGACGCCGCGUGGGGGAAUGAAGGUCUUCGGAUUGUAAACUCCUGUCAUGUGGGAGCAAAUUAAAAAGAUAGUACCCCAAGAGGAAGAGACGGCUAACUCUGUGCCAGCAGCCGCGGUAAUACAGAGGUCUCAAGCGUUGUUCGGAAUCACUGGGCGUAAAGCGUGCGUAGGCUGUUUCGUAAGUCGUGUGUGAAAGGCGCGGGCUCAACCCGCGGACGGCACAUGAUACUGCGAGACUAGAGUAAUGGAGGGGGAACCGGAAUUCUCGGUGUAGCAGUGAAAUGCGUAGAUAUCGAGAGGAACACUCGUGGCGAAGGCGGGUUCCUGGACAUUAACUGACGCUGAGGCACGAAGGCCAGGGGAGCGAAAGGGAUUAGAUACCCUUGUAGUC
rnacentral:rRNA from 1 species